GAAGAUACUACGUUAAUUGUAAGUUACAGCUGGCAACAUUGUAUAUUGACGUUUCUCACGUUUCGAUUUACGGAAUACGUGGUCCAUAUUAUAACGCCUUUUGAAAUUUUGCACAUUUUAUUGAUUUUAUACAUGAUUAUGUAUUUAAUAUUGAUUACUUUAAAUGUAUAUUCUUCCUACAACAUUGUUCAAUGAUACAACUUUUUUAAGAAAUUUUAUGUGGAUGAAGAUGAAACGUAAUGCAAAUGUCAAAGAAAGAAAAUAAUUUUAGUUUAACUUAUGAAUCAUAAACAUACUGCUAAAAAUUCUAAACUUCAGGUCUAAUAAUAUAAACUACAUCUAAGUAUUUUGCAGUCCACAGGAUAAUUGAGGGAAGUUAGUUCUGAGAUGAUGAAAAUAAUAUAUGGUCUCAAAGGAAGUCGGCCUCAUUGUGAACAAGACGAAAUCCCGCUUUAUAUAAACCAAGGCAGGUUGGAAAAGUCCAGAAGCAAAUUUUAGAAGAAAAAUAUUGUACUGAAUAACUACAAUGGGCCAUUGAAGAAGAGAAGACGGCACAAGAGGGAAAUAUGGGCCUUAGAAAAAGAUAUCACGCCUCUAUCCCAUAAAGAGGUAGGCAGAGCACAUGAACUACUAAGUUUCUGUGCCACUCUUGGCAAAAAGGGGUGGAAAGAAAUCCAAAUUAUGACAUUGAAGAAGUGAAGACUAAAUAAGUAAACCAAAGGCCCCAAGAAUAUAAAAGACUGCAAUGAAAUUGUCAAGAAGAGGGUGCGAGAGCAGAA